rnacentral:rRNA from 1 species
UACGUAGGGUCCGAGCGUUGUCCGGAAUUAUUGGGCGUAAAGAGCUCGUAGGCGGUCUGUUGCGUCGGUUGUGAAAACCUGGGGCUCAACUCCAGGCCUGCAAUCGAUACGGGCAGACUAGAGUUCGGUAGGGGAGACUGGAAUUCCUGGUGUAGCGGUGAAAUGCGCAGAUAUCAGGAGGAACACCUGCGGCGAAGGCGGGUUGCUGGGCCGACACUGACGCUGAUGCGCGAAAGCCAGGGGAGCGAACGGG